rnacentral:lncRNA from 1 species
CCAAUUGUAAACAAACUUUUUCUCCGAAAGAAAAUCUUAUUUAUAAAUUAAUCUGAAUAUGAAAUUAUAAAUUAAAUAAUUAAUAUGGAAAUUUUUAAAAUAAGAUCUGUCACUGUAAUUUUCUAAUCUGAAAUAACGUUGCAAUCUAGUUUGUUGAUGUUGCGGCGAUUCUGUUUAUAAAGUGGCGGUUUUACUUUUACUUUUAUCCUCUUCACCACUGAUCGGCUCGUUAGCCACUUGGGCGAUCGGUCACGUCUGUUACUUUUCUUUGAAUCUGUACCAAGUACAGUAUAUUCCUUGCGUAUUGGCUCACACAGUAGCGAAUAAGUCACCCUCUAUGUACAGAACUAAACAAAGAAUUUAUUUGAAAUACUCUGUAACAUUCAAUACUGUACCAUAAUACUCCAGCGGUCAAAAUAUUAAAUAUCCUGACCGCUGGGGUUGGUUACUUUUGUGACCUCUGUAAUCCUUUUGCGCAACAGCUCGUAAGAUGAGUAUGGGCUGAACGGUAAUUAUUGAUGACUAACCCGCGGCCGAAAUUUAAUUUAAACGAUUUUAAAAAAGGCUGGAUAUUCAGUUUUUUAUAGUGGACACUGUUAUAGUUUGUGCAAAUGUGUUAAAAAUGGUUAUUUCUAAAAUAAACGUAACUUAACCUUUGUGAGUAUGAAAAACACCUGGCGUCCUAGCCAAACAAAACUACCUAACCUUACCUAACUUCCUUAAACAGGGGCUCCACCCCCAGAUCCCUGGUAUAUUAAACAGAAAAACUUAUGGUGUAUAUAUAUAUAUUUUUAAUGUAAGAUUCAGUUAGUUUUCGGGGAAAUGAUAGUAAUGCUCCCAUUGUAAAGUGAGAGUGGGUUCCAUAGGCAUGACUACCCAUUAGGAACAGUGUAGAUACAGCACACUGUAUACUUUGAUACACAAGGAGGCGGCAGCAUGGCCGUUACUACACUCAACUGCCUUCACUUCCCCAAGUUGUAAACUUAGGUACCCAUUUACAGCUGGGUGAACUGGAAGUGCCCUGGAAUUGAACCCCCGACCCCAGGAGCAGGAGAUAUCCCCUGCCCCACGAAUAUAGGGGACUCCAGGCAGCAAAGCACGAUCAGCGGUACGGUACACAUUCACUUCUUGGUUUGCUGUUUGCCACGUGUCCACACAGGCUGGCUGGCGCGAGCACAAUAGUCGUAUCUUCAUGGAGUACAUGAAGAGAUAAGCAGGAAUUGCUAGCCAGCGCCAGCCACACAUCACACCCCGGACUAGUAGAAGUGAUACUUCAGCCCUUCCUGUAUAAAACAAGAAAGUUGGUAUUUUUCACCAUCAGGCUCUAGGGUGACUAGAUAGAAUCAAGUCAAUAUAAGCCACUUACUUCUGAUGGCAGAGUCUGGUUUUAGAAAACAACUAAAUUUCUUAACCAUGAAUGCUGUAAUAUGUUUAGUUUAAAAGUAAGGAAGUCAGAUCAGAUACACUCCUGGCUUCCUUAAGGUUGAGGUUACUAUAAAACAAUAUGUACACAUCAUCUUACUGCCCACAAUCAAAGUACUUUAUCUCAUAUUCCAGGAUGUCAAAGGUAUUGCCUAACGGGCCAUGGCAGGAUGUGAGUCGACAUUCAUUCACUGAACCAUAAUUCUGAAAUAUUACUUAGGGGCUGAAACACACUUUAACAAGCUACUUCUACAAAUAAAAAAUACUGUAGUUAUAUAAUAAAAUUUCAUGCAUUAACAGGUUGCACUUAUCUCUAAAAAUGAGUAAUGUUUCAGAAUCUGGGUCAUAUGUAUUCAGUCAGUAUCAAUAUUAAUGUACAAGUACAGUAAUAAUAAGUAGUCUUACCUGUUUGGUGGUGAGGAUGGUCUGUCGGUAGUUGUCUUGAGUAUCUGAUAAACCUGCAAUAUAUUUCAAAGGUUAAUCUCUCAUAUCUUUCUUCAUAAAUUUACAAUUCAUGAUAAUGCUGCACUGCACUAUGUUCAUAAUGAAUAUACAGUACAGUACUGUACUGUGUUAUCUUAAGGGUUCUUUAACUCACACACAAUACUCUUUUCCUCUUCAUACAGUAUUCUUAUACUGUGAUGUAUUAGUUAAGACAUGGAUUUAACAAGAAUUAAACCCACUAAAUUAAUCCAGAAUAUGUAACUGGAUCUUAACACAUAAUAUUAAAUAAAAAUACAGUACAGUACAGUAUGCUUUAUAUUUCAAUGUAGAAACUAGACACCAUAAUUAUGUCUUAACUCUUUACAGGGGUAUAUGGGUUUUCCAAAGUACUGUAUCUACUGUCACCUACAGUAUAUACACUGAGUGGCCAAUUUAUGUCACACAAUCUUAUUCCCAACAACCUUCACCUCCCCCACACAUCAGCCUAUGCUAUGUGCAUUAUUAUCUGUGCACACUUUGCCUAUUAUGAUACAAUACAAUUAUAUACCUGUACUGUGUACAAAAACUAAAAUUUCGAGGAUGUCUACAGAAACACUUCAACAUGUUAAUACAGGAUCGGGGUCAGAAUGUUGUAAUUCUGAUAAAUAUUAGUCCUACUGAUCAUUGGUAUUAUUUCACUUGCUGUCCAACAUUAAGUUCUGUACUCACUUCCUGUGAGUUUUCAAAGCUGAGUUUUGGCAUUUCCAUUUCCAAGAGAAAACUGCAUAGUUGCAUAGAGAGUUGACAAAGUUACAGUCCCUCCCAUUACUACUCAUUGCACUGGUGCAACAUCGCACUGGUGUAACAUCAUGCACCUUCUUUGUAUUGUGUAUACUCUUGGUUACACUAUAUGAUCUAUUUUUACUGCAAAACACAUUACAUUAUAUUGCAUUGAUCACAGCGACACUUGUUAUGUACAUUCUUAUUAUGUAUCACUAAGUCUACGUAAUUGUUAUUAGGUUUUGGCAAGCAUCACACAUGAGCAUUCAACCAGUCAGUGAUGUAAUGUACAGUAGUACGAGUAUUGGGAUGUGUCUGAGUACAUAUGGGUGUAUAAAAUGUUAUACAGGGUAUAUUGAUUUAUUAAUACUGUAUUUUCAAUUCAAACCCAUCAGCUUUAAGACAUGAAUAUACAAUAGUAUAUGUAUAAUCUUUACUGCAUCAACCAUUCUGUUCUUCCUAACAUAUAGAUUGUGUAUAAUGUCUUGUCACCCAAGUACAGUACUUUACUGGAGUGACAAGAUGAUAAAACACCAAUGAUAACUUAAACCAUAUUGUCAGGGAUACACUUCACCUUGUACCACCGCAGAUGAUCCAUAAUAUAUUACACAGACACUGACAUAAAAUCCCUCUCUCUCAUGAAAAUGAUGGUGCACAAACUGAAUGAAAUUAUAGUACUUACAACGCCAUUCAUUAUGGAUAAAGGGAGACGAGUCGAUAGCACUAUGCCGAGGCAAUCCAGCGGACGAAUUCCUCUUAAUUCUCGGAGGGGCUACAGGAGCCCCAUCAGACCCCCGGGAGUCACUACUACUGGCAUUUUCCACCCUUGGAGGCUGUACCAGGCCGGGUCUUCUCAGCCGCACAGAUUCUUCACC